UACAGAGGUCUCAAGCGUUGUUCGGAUUCAUUGGGCGUAAAGGGUGCGUAGGUGGCGCCAUAAGUCAGGUGUGAAAUCUCGGGGCUCAACCCCGAAACUGCACUUGAUACUGUGGUGCUCGAGUACUGGAGAGGAGAUUGGAAUUCCCGGUGUAGCGGUGGAAUGCGUAGAGAUCGGGAAGAACAUCAGUGGCGAAGGCGGCCUGCUGGGCUGUUGCUGACGCUGAGGCGCGACAGCGUGGGGAGCAAACAGG
rnacentral:rRNA from 1 species